AGGGAAUCUUCGGCAAUGGGGGCAACCCUGACCGAGCAACGCCGCGUGAGUGAAGAAGGUUUUCGGAUCGUAAAGCUCUGUUGUAAGUCAAGAACGGGUGUGAGAGUGGAAAGUUCACACUGUGACGGUAGCUUACCAGAAAGGGACGGCUAACUACGUGCCAGCAGCCGCGGUAAUACGUAGGUCCCGAGCGUUGUCCGGAUUUAUUGGGCGUAAAGCGAGCGCAGGCGGUUUGAUAAGUCUGAAGUUAAAGGCUGUGGCUCAACCAUAGUUCGCUUUGGAAACUGUCAAACUUGAGUGCAGAAGGGGAGAGUGGAAUUCCAUGUGUAGCGGUGAAAUGCGUAGAUAUAUGGAGGAACACCGGUGGCGAAAGCGGCUCUCUGGUCUGUAACUGACGCUGAGGCUCGAAAGCGUGGGGAGCGAACAGGAUUAGAUACCCUGGUAGUCCACGCCGUAAACGAUGAGUGCUAGGUGUUGGAUCCUUUCCGGGAUUCAGUGCCGCAGCUAACGCAUUAAGCACUCCGCCUGGGGAGUACGACCGCAAGGUUGAAA
rnacentral:rRNA from 1 species